ensembl:lncRNA
UUAUUUUAGGUUUAGGGUUCAGAUUCAUAUCUCACUUUCAGAAAUACAAAAGCAUUCUUUUUAUUCAGUAAACAAGGCAACAGAUGUGACAGACACCCUUCUGUCACACUGUCGCAUUAGGUCUGAAUACUCCACUUUAACGGCGAGCAGUUGGGCGCUACGGCUUUUAAAUUCCAUUCCAGGACGACAGCGGCCGAACUGCUGGAGCCGUGAAAGCAAUUCUGGAUCCUACAGUGUGCUGCAACUUUUAGAAAAUAGAGGGCUAUAGUUGCCUGUGAUGGGAGUGAGCUGUGAAGACUAUAAUCAGUGUCAGCUCCCACAGCCGGACCUGACACCGCACACCGAGACGCAAUAUCUCUGCCUCUCGCGCACGCACACGCGUGUGCGUGUGUGUGUGUGUGUGCGUCGUGGCUGUUUGUGUAUCCUUUCUCCAGCAGGACCCCCAGAUCAAAACCGCAACCCACUCUCCCUCCCCAUGCCUCUCUGGUUCUCCCUCUCUAUCUCAGUCUCUCCACCCCCUCUCUCAUUAAAAACUGCAGGCCCCGGCUUCUAAUUAAAUCCCACUUGAAAAGUCUUAAAGUCGGCCUCAGAUUGAUUCAAUUUGCAUUUCUGAACAGAGAACAUUGCCUAAAAGGAUUAAUAAAUUGGACGGGAAAAAAAAAUAAAAAAUCCUUUUUUCUGCACCACGCCGCCAGAGCUUGUAAGACAACAUCCAAAGAGAAAUACCCCCCCCCCCCCCCCCCCCUCAACGAACGUCUAUCCAACAUAUGCUCUCGCUCUCUCUCUCUUGCACGUCCCGCAGGAUGCCAGCAGAGAUGGGAAGUGCGUGCCGGCGUGCGCGUGGGCGUGCGAGUGCGCGCAUGUCCUCGCGUCUGUGGGACAAAGCGAAGAGUCCUCGGAGGCACAGUCGGGAGAGAACACACGCAGUCUGACUCUCACUGUGUGUGCGUGUUUUUUGUGUCUAUUUAUGCCUGUGUGUGUGUGUGUGAGGGCGACUUUGUUGGAGCGUGCCAGAGUGCUGAAAGUGACGAGAAGGCCCAGUGGGAGAAGAUCCUUGCUCUGCUGACUGCGUGUGCAGAAACAGGCCGUGGAGCCGUGCCAUCGGCGAGCGGACACCUACAGCAACAUGUUUAGGAAUUAAAACAAAAAACAAAAAAAAACACCCAAAAAAAACAAACGGCGCCAGCUAAGAGAGGAGCCGGAGUUACGUGGUGAGAUCAAAUGAAAAGAAGGAGGAGGAUGAGACGAGCGAACACUUAUUUGAGAGUUUACAUUUGCAUUGACACAAAAGGUCUGCCUGAAAAUUGUACUUCGCAGGCUCUCUGUGUGUAUUUGUAUUGUCCGUAACUAUGGAAACCUGCUAACAAGACGAGAGAAGAUUACCUACAGCUAUCAGACGCAUUUAUCCAACAUUAUGCAAAUAGAGCCUAAUAAUGUGCUAAUCCCUUCUGCUAUUCCUCCUGUUUAUGGUGACGUUCACGGAGGGAUGAGUGAAGCUCAUUUUGGUGAAUGUUUUUAAAAAAAAAACAAUGAUUUUAAUUUCCAAGAUUUUCGACAGAAUUGGAUCUGUAGCCUACUGUACUUUUUUGUAUAUAAAAUGUGUUGGGUAUUUAUGCUGAGCCGACUGUUACAAGCCGUCAAAACUGGCUGAUGGACUUUAAUUAGUUAGUUAGUUUAAUAUAAAACUCGAAUGACAUAAAUAAUAAUAAUAAAUAUCAUUAUAAACAGACAGCACUCAGUAGGCAUGGCUUCAUUGCAUAUCAGUCAGUGGAUCUAAAAUUAUAAUAACACAGAAAUUAGUUUACGAAUAGACCUCAAACACGAUGAACACACAAAAGAAAACGGCAAUAUUUACAUAAUAAAGAGACAUUAAUUAAAUGUAAAUGAAAUAAAUGAACAUAAUUCAAAAUAAAAGUCUCACUGUCCUCUUCUCACCAAGUGAGUAGUGCGCGGAAGGUCGCGGAUCCAUCUCGCCCUGCGUUGGACGAAGCGACACUGACCCCUGGUGGUAGCAGCUGCAACCAACCCCAAGGGGGGUUUGCAGCAUGCGUGUGCGCAUGCACGUGUGAACAUCCCCGUGUCCCUGCGUGGGGACCCAACGCUGCUCGUUGGCUCUGUGCAGGUGCGCUCCUUUGCAGCAGUGCCUCGCUUUCCUUUGUUUGACUGGGACAUUCGCGGGGCGCGUGUUGCGUUUGCGGGUUUUGCUGCACGCGCGAUUCAUCCCUCCACUCUAUACGUUUGAGCCCGCGCGGCGUGCGUGUCCCCGUGAGGCGUGUGCGCGCGUUUUUUUGUGUGCGCGUCGUUCCGUGCGCGUGUGUUCUAAUAACGGCGCCCGGUGGACCGGGGGCCUCCUUUGAUGCGAUGAGGGCUGACAGGCGUGAAACAGGUCCAAUCAGGCGCGUGGGCGCUGCCAAUUAACCCCUUUCACCGUGUGAAAGCAAACAUAAUUGCCGGGGGGGGGUGCGGGGGGGCCACCGGGCCACGGCCUGCCCAGCGUAGGCUGAAAGGGGCAUUAGCAGUGCUGCCAGGUGACCAUUACACACACGAUCUAACCGCUGUGUGUCUCUGCGAAGCGCACACUUACACAAUUAUACACCUUUCAUCAGGUGUGUCUCUACUGCCGCGUUUAUUACACUGGAUUUAGAUUCAAAUGCCUCUAUGGACAUUUUAUGCUGUCAUGAUUCUGUGCAGAAUGUUAUAAUAUAACUGGAACAAACAGUCUUUAAUAAGUUAAGUUAAGCUUUGUGUGCACUAAUAAUCAAAUGUCAUUGAUUUAAUGCUCAAGGCAAAUACCCCACAUUCUCAAACGCCCUUAACUGGGGCGCUGUUAUAAAUUAAACAGUACUCUGCAAUGCUGGAAUAACAAUGUUAACUAGAAUGUCAUGAUUAUUUGUCUUGUUUUGAUAUUCUUGUGUUAAAUUAAGAACCAUGGUUAUCCACAUUUUGUUACACAAAUAAGAAGUAUUUCAAAUGAAAGAGCGUAUGAACUGAAACUCACUUUCUUCAGCAUCCUUAUCAACCAAAUCCAGCAGUCUCAGAGAUGGAUUCAUCCUGCAUUCCUGUCAAUUCUUUCUUGGGAAUAUUAUAUUCACUGUAAUAUACAUACAGGAGAAUGAAUGCAAAAGCAUUUAAAUACAUUUGAUUGAUAGUGUAUUACAUACACGUGGCUAAAGCUUGGAAUAACACAACAGUCCCACCCUGUUCACUGUUUCAAGAUUCAACUUUAGUUUUAAACACUGCACUUUGACACCUUAAUGUAAUUUUAAAUCGGCACGGAUAAGUAUUAUAACUAAAGCCUGUUUAUAAAUUCAUAUUAAGAAGUUGAAUGCAUGUGAUACUUGACUAUUGCAGUGAAAAAAUAUUUGUCUGUUUUUGCACUUUCUCCAUCCUCUCUCCUCUCCUGUCUCCUAUCUACUGUCUCCUCCUCCUCUCUCCUACUGACUGUCUCCUCUCUCCAGUGUCUUUUUCCUCUCCUCUCCUCUCUACUCUCCCCUGUAUCCUCUCUCCUCUCCUGUCUCCUCCUCUCCUCUCCUGUCUCCUCUCUCCUCCAUCCUCCAGCCUGCCCGACUGCCCGACGAAAAAAAUGUUGGCAAAACACCCCCUCCUCAUCGCGCCGAGAAAAAAAAUGGCGGACGAGCGCUAAAUCCACACCAGAAACAAACACGCGCUACAGAGCGAGGUAAAACACCCUCGGAUACGCCGAGCGACGUCGCGUUUCGGGCUGCGCUUCCGCGCCGAGCCGCGGUCGUCCCCGGGCCGCCCGCCCCGCGCGCGCGUGUGUGUGUGUGUGUGUGUGUGUGUGUGUGUGCCGGCGGGCUUCCCGCCCCGCCAAUGCUAAUGUUUAUCUUUAAGGAGUCCGCGAGCUUAGCCAGCCACCUAGCACGCUAAGCUAGCAUCCGCGAGGGGCGGCGGGCGCUCGUCGCCGUGUUGCCGCGCGGCCGCGAGUGUCGCUCCGGCGUUGCGCUCGCCGGGGGUUUGUUCGUGUCGCGUGAGCUCGUGAAUAAGUUGACGUAAACGUGUUGAUGUAGCAGCGGGGAGGAGGGCGGCGGCGGGGGGGCGGGCGGGGAGGGUCCCGUGUGUCCGCGCCGUGUUUAGCGGACGGAGCUCAGCACUUUCCCGAUAAGCGCGAUGUCUUAGCGUGCAGAUGGAAAACAACGGUGCGGCCGCAGCGGUUCCUGCCGCGCGGGUUAGAUGAGACCACCAGCCGGGGAAGCAACGGGAGGAACCGGGGGGAACCGGGGGGGGGGACGACGACGACGACCUGGAUGCAGAUCUCACUGACGCCUCCUGUCACUUUCCCAGACGGAGAAGAGGAGCGGGGACCGGCCCGCUCUCUUUUUGGACCCCCCCCUCUCGGUGGAGGAAAAAGGCGCACUUCCACCGCACAGGGAAUCACCCGGGAGGAGAAACCGCUGCUCAACGGUUAUGAGGUUUUAAGGUAGGAGGCCGUUCAUGGAACCCUUCACACCGGGCUGGAAUGAGAUGAAAUAGUUGGGUAACAACACUUUGUUGGGCACGUUUUUGUACAUUAUCUGCCACUGCCCUGCUGUGAUUCCACCACCUCUGGAGGAAAUCUGCGUUUUGGAUCAUGUGUAUUUAUUGUGUGUGUGUGUGUGUGUGUGUGUGUGUGUGUGUGUGUGUUAAAACGCCACGGUGGCCUGCGGGACCACAAAUGCUUCCAAAACAAAAGGUUUAUUUUCGAUCGUGACAACUUCACAAGGCUCUUUUUUUGUGUGGCCUCCAGCGCCGGAGCCGCCUGUGUGUUGUGAGCUCGGCCUGCGUUGGAGCAUGAGGAAGCCUGCGCCACAGAAAGGUAACAAGUGCCAUCAUGUUGUUUGCACAAUGAACGACAAACGACAAGUGUUGUGCAUUGUGUGCACCGACUGAUCUCCCGUUCCAUCUCCCUCGGCUCCUCCUCAGCCAUAGAAUGGAAAGAAGUCAGAAGGAUCAAGCAAGCCCGGAGCGGACGUCCCUCUCGGGUGCUCUCACAAUACCAAGGUGAGUGAGUUUGGAGUGAUUCUAACAGGUGAAAGUACCCGUGGUUUUACCUCAACCCCAUCAUCCCCAGCACCAUAUUUGCUGAAAAGGUGGAUAAAAGAUGUGGAGCUUUGUGCGUCUUUGCCAUUGUGUGUUCGGGCUCAAAAAACAUGGCUUUGUCAAAUGCAUGAAAAAUAACAUUCAUGAAACUUUCUAUCACCCCAAAAUGCGAAGGCAGUUGUUACGUGAUACAUUAGGGGUGUAAAGAUUCAUUUUAACAACGAUUCGACGAUCGGUUAAUUUAGUUGAGUUCGAUUUGAUUCGGUGACUUGAAAUCGAUUCAGUAACUUUACUGGACAGUGCAGGCAAAGUUUCUGAGAUCUCUGUUGUUUCUUGAAAGGAAAUCAGGUUUAAAUUAAUUAUGGAUAUUAUAAACAAGCAAACAACA